GGUGACCCUUGAUGUUUUCAGUUAAGGAAAAACAUGAGGAGAAAUGGCUGUUUUCUUCGCUGCCCUGGCUUUGCAUGAAAGUGCCAUAAAAUUAAAGGCAGACAAAAAAUUUUAUACCGAGGAGAUAUAAUUAGAGUGCACUCAGUUCUCAGUGUUUAUCUCCAGCCUCUGUGAGCAGCCCACUGUGUGGAAGUCAAAGGCAAGGAGCUGCUGUCACUGCGGUGGAGCUGGACGCAGACAAGCGAUGCCGCGGGUGUGCAGCCGAAGCCACCCGAGGGACAGACUCUGCUGUUUGUUGCCAUUUCUUCCGAGUUGGCUGGGUUUUAUUUUGGAGGCUUUAAAGCGCUUUUUCGGAGGAGGAAUAAUGGGCGCUCCACUGGAUCCUACCUUGAUGUUUAGUGGAGUAGAGAUGAGUAAUUUUGUUGCAAGAUCUCUUGCAAACACUUUGAUUGUUUGGAUGCUUUUUUCCUUUUUGAGGGUUGAUGUAAAGGUCACUGACCAUUAUUAAAUUGGGUUUGCUUCUAUAUUUUUUGGUAAUUUUAAUUUGCUCAUUUUGAUUCUCAUUUUUCGUUUGGUUUUCAGUUCAGAUCUGUUUUCCUCUCUGCCCGCAAAGAUUUCUCAGUUUCCUUGCUGAGGAGGGUUUCUCAAGUUAAAAGAAAUGUUUUGAAAUAAAACACUCACAUAACAUUAACAUAAUAACAUUUCUGACUAUUACAAUACACAUAAAAUAAAAAAUCCCCCAAAGAACUCCAAAAUCACCCAUGUACAAAAGCUUUUUAAAAUGUUGUUUCAUGGCAAUUAAUUCUGAUCUUUCAGCUUUUCCUAUUCAUUACCUAUUGAAGAAGUCUUUCUCCAUUGAAUUUACCAACUUCUGCAGGAAGGUGCUCUGCCUCGAGGGCCAUGUUCUGAUGCCUCAAGGACCACCAGUGGUUUGCAGACCGCAGGUGAAGAUAAAGAGAUACAGCUGAAUUCUUUCCUCACUCCGCUAGCGGCAAAAAAGAAGAUCUUGAAAAAAAAUCCAUUUUGAAGAGGAACCAGGGGGAAAGAGUGGGGAUGUGUGCUGAGAGUGUGAUGAAGUCUGACACUUUUGAGCCACGCAGCAGAGAGGAACCAUAGUCCUUCAUCUUCCCCAUCGCAAGUCGGGGAGAUUUUGGCACUGAGAAGACCGAGGAUGAGCUCUAUCACAUCACAGAGAUAACAUGGAUGACAAGUUCCAAAUGGCCACUUAGAAGUAAAAUCCCUGUCUGCAAAAAUCUCUGCAUAAACAGCCUUUGAGUCCUCAGCAUGGGAUGUCUAUCACAAUGUAUGACUAUCUGAAGAUCUGCCUGCUAAGACCUUGCUGAAUGACACAGUGUUUCUGAUACUCAAUAAAAAGUUAAUUUCUGAAUA